GCCGUAGCUCAGUGAUAGUGCAUUUGUUUUUCACACAGAAGGUCCUGGGUUCAAUCCCCAGAUCUCUAGGUAGGGCA